GACGAACGCUGGCGGCGUGCUUAACACAUGCAAGUCGAACGGAAAGGCCCUGCUUUUGUGGGGUGCUCGAGUGGCGAACGGGUGAGUAACACGUGAGUAACCUGCCCUUGACUUUGGGAUAACUUCAGGAAACUGGGUCUAAUACCGGAUAGGAGCUCCUGCUGCAUGGUGGGGGUUGGAAAGUUUCGGCGGUUGGGGAUGGACUCGCGGCUUAUCAGCUUGUUGGUGGGGUAGUGGCUUACCAAGGCUUUGACGGGUAGCCGGCCUGAGAGGGUGACCGGCCACAUUGGGACUGAGAGACGGCCCAGACUCCUACGGGAGGCAGCAGUGGGGAAUAUUGCACAAUGGGCGGAAGCCUGAUGCAGCAACGCCGCGUGCGGGAUGACGGCCUUCGGGUUGUAAACCGCUUUCGCCUGUGACGAAGCGUGAGUGACGGUAAUGGGUAAAGAAGCACCGGCUAACUACGUG
rnacentral:rRNA from 1 species